AUUGAACGCUGGCGGCAGGCCUAACACAUGCAAGUCGAGCGGAACGGCGGACGGGUGAGUAAUGCCUAGGAAUCUGCCUGGUAGUGGGGGAUAACGUCGGGAAACGGGAGCUAAUACCGCAUACUAUCAAGUGAGCCUAGGUCGGAUUAGCUGGUUGGUGGGGUAAAGGAUUACCAAGGCGACGAUCCGUAACUGGUCUGAGAGGAUGAUCAGUCACACUGGAACUGAGACACGGUCCAGACUCCUACGGGAGGCAGCAGUGGGGAAUAUUGGACAAUGGGCGAAAGCCUGAUCCAGCAAUGCCGCGUGUGUGAAGAAGGUCUUCGGAUUGUAAAGCACUGUAAGUUGGGAGUCGUUACCUACAGAAUAAGCACCGGCUAACUUCGUGCCAGCAGCCGCGGUAAUAC
rnacentral:rRNA from 1 species